rnacentral:rRNA from 1 species
GCUUAACACAUGCAAGUCGAGGGGCAGCAUGGUCUUUGCUUGCUAAGGCCGAUGGCGACCGGCGCACGGGUGAGUAACACGUAUCCAACCUGCCGUCUACUCUUGGACAGCCUUCUGAAAGGAAGAUUAAUACAAGAUGGCAUCAUGAGUCCGCAUGUUCACAUGAUUAAAGGUAUUCCGGUAGACGAUGGGGAUGCGUUCCAUUAGAUAGUAGGCGGGGUAACGGCCCACCUAGUCUUCGAUGGAUAGGGGUUCUGAGAGGAAGGUCCCCCACAUUGGAACUGAGACACGGUCCAAACUCCUACGGGAGGCAGCAGUGAGGAAUAUUGGUCAAUGGGCGAGAGCCUGAACCAGCCAAGUAGCGUGAAGGAUGACUGCCCUAUGGGUUGUAAACUUCUUUUAUAAAGGAAUAAAGUCGGGUAUGGAUACCCGUUUGCAUGUACUUUAUGAAUAAGGAUCGGCUAACUCCGUGCCAGCAGCCGCGGUAAUACGGAGGAUCCGAGCGUUAUCCGGAUUUAUUGGGUUUAAAGGGAGCGUAGAUGGAUGUUUAAGUCAGUUGUGAAAGUUUGCGGCUCAACCGUAAAAUUGCAGUUGAUACUGGAUAUCUUGAGUGCAGUUGAGGCAGGCGGAAUUCGUGGUGUAGCGGUGAAAUGCUUAGAUAUCACGAAGAACUCCGAUUGCGAAGGCAGCCUGCUAAGCUGCAACUGACAUUGAGGCUCGAAAGUGUGGGUAUCAAACAGGAUUAGAUACCCUGGUAGUCCACACGGUAAACGAUGAAUACUCGCUGUUUGCGAUAUACAGCAAGCGGCCAAGCGAAAGCGUUAAGUAUUCCACCUGGGGAGUACGCCGGCAACGGUGAAACUCAAAGGAAUUGACGGGGGCCCACACAAGCGGAGGAACAUGUGGUUUAAUUCGAUGAUACGCGAGGAACCUUACCCGGGCUUAAAUUGCAGAUGAAUUACGGUGAAAGCCGUAAGCCGCAAGGCAUCUGUGAAGGUGCUGCAUGGUUGUCGUCAGCUCGUGCCGUGAGGUGUCGGCUUAAGUGCCAUAACGAGCGCAACCCUUGUUGUCAGUUACUAACAGGUUCCGCUGAGGACUCUGACAAGACUGCCAUCGUAAGAUGUGAGGAAGGUGGGGAUGACGUCAAAUCAGCACGGCCCUUACGUCCGGGGCUACACACGUGUUACAAUGGGGGGUACAGAGGGCCGCUACCACGCGAGUGGAUGCCAAUCCCCAAAACCUCUCUCAGUUCGGACUGGAGUCUGCAACCCGACUCCACGAAGCUGGAUUCGCUAGUAAUCGCGCAUCAGCCACGGCGCGGUGAAUACGUUCCCGGGCCUUGUACACACCGCCCGUCAAGCCAUGGGAGCCGGGGGUACCUGAAGUGCGUAACCGCGAGGAGCGCCCUAGGGUAAAACUGGU